GAGGCUCCAUGUUGCACUAGCUCAUCACACUGCAUUCAUCAGAAAAAUGUUGAUACUGAAUUUGUGAUAUUGCAGAAUAAAUAAGAAAUGGCAUCCGGAUAAGCAAAAAAAUCAGACCUCAAAGUUUCAGGAAAUAAAUGAGGUGUACCAAGACCUAUGAGCUCGAGAAGUAAACGUUGGACAUUUAGAUAGAGUUCAAGAUGUUAUGCAGGACAAAACCCAAUUGCAAAGGUUCCUUGGAAGCCUUAACUAUGUAGCAGACUUUAUCACUAAGGGCAAACCAUAAGGCAAGGACCACCACCUCGAGGACCUUUCAAAGUGAAGGAAGCAGUAGCAAAGACUACUUCAGCUAAGCCAUUUAAUAUCCGUCCAGUUAACGUUAACUGUUACUUCCCCCAAUAGAUAUUCAGCCUUAGCACAAUUACCACUGAUAAACCCUAUUGCUUACCCUCCGUUGCCUCCGAGCACCUUUUCGAAUAUGUUGAUAUUAAAAAAGCCCUUUGCUCAAUCCCAAGAGCCCAACUCUUUUUCUCCAUCAGGAAAACAAAGAUUUUUCCAAACCCAGACCAAGGACAGUUACACCAUGAAAGCUCUAGAAAGCUUUGCUGAAGCUGUAACACCCACAACGGCAACUCCAUCACCCAAUACCAAACCUAAAGAAAAGGAAAAAAUUUAUUU